rnacentral:rRNA from 1 species
CCGCGGGAUUAGAGUUUGAUCCUGGCUCAGAAUCAACGCUGGCGGCGCGCCUAACACAUGCAAGUCGAACGAGAAAGCCGCAAGGCAAGUAAAGUGGCGUACGGGUGAGUAACACGUGGAUUAUCUGCCCUCUAGUGGGGAAUACCGUUGGGAAACCGACGACAAUACCGCAUAAGCUCGAGAGAGGAAAGCAGCAAUGCGCUGGAGGAGGAGUCCGCGGUCGAUUAGUUAGUUGGCGGGGUAAAAGCCCACCAAGACUGUGAUCGAUAGCCGGCCUGAGAGGGCACACGGCCACACUGGCACUGAAACACGGGCCAGACUCCUACGGGAGGCAGCAGUGGGGAAUCUUGCACAAUGGGGGAAACCCUGAUGCAGCGACGCCGCGUGAGCGAUGAAGCCCUUCGGGGUGUAAAGCUCUUUCGUCGGGGAAGAUUAUGACGGUACCCGGAGAAGCAGCUGCGGCUAACUACGUGCCAGCAGCCGCGGUAAUACGUAGGCAGCAAGCGUUGUUCGGAGUUACUGGGCGUAAAGGGUGCGUAGGCGGCUAUUUAAGUUUGGUGUGAAAUCUCCCGGCUCAACUGGGAGGGUGCGCCGAAUACUGAGUGGCUAGAGUGUGGGAGAGGAAAGUGGAAUUCCUGGUGUAGCGGUGAAAUGCGUAGAUAUCAGGAGGAACACCGGUGGUGUAAACGGCUUUCUGGACCAUAACUGACGCUGAGGCACGAAAGCGUGGGUAGCAAACAGGAUUAGAUACCCUGGUAGUCCACGCCCUANACGAUGCAUAUUUGGUGUGGGCCAUUCAUUUGGUCUGUGCCGGAGCUAACGCG